AAAACUUUCAAAGGAGCAAGCAAAUUUAUCAUUUUUGAAAGACAGUUUGACGAAAAGCGACGAUUUGACGGAAAAUAUGCGUGGUAUUUUGUCAUCAUUUAACGAACGUUUAAGCAAGCUAGAAGAAAACAUUUUACCUGUGCAUAAAGAAACUGUUGAACUACAACGUCGACAAAGAAAUAUUGACAAAGUUUUACGAGGGUUG